rnacentral:misc_RNA from 1 species
ACUCAAUCAAGAAGCUGGAGGAGAAGUGGAGCCAUAAUCAACAAAAGCCCACAAACAACACCAGAACUGAUGGGACAUCUAUCACCGAGGAAGUUUCUGAACUUAAGAUGUUGCUUCAAAACGAAAUGCAAACAAGAAAGGCAGCAGAAGAAGAAAUAUACAAACUCAAAGAUCAACUGCACAUGUUAACAAAACCAGGGGUGGAAAUUCUGAUAUUCUAAACCUCCAAAGCAUGCUGGAAGAAGAGAUUCGUCAGAAGAAGAGACUGGAAGAAGAAGUUAUUGUCUUACGUAGUCAAUUUUCUCAACUAACUAUGGAAGCUGGUCAAAGAACAAGCUAUCUGGAUAGAAGCAGAAAUGGCACUGGACUUCCAGGCCUAGAUUCAUUGUCUCCUCUUAGAAAUCUGCAUUGCAAAGAUGCG